rnacentral:rRNA from 1 species
GUGAGGAAUAUUGCGCAAUGGACGAAAGUCUGACGCAGCCAUGCCGCGUGAAGGAUUGACGGCCCUAUGGGUUGUAAACUUCUUUUGUAUAGGAAUAAACCCUCGUUCGUGAACGAGGCUGAAGGUACUAUAAGAAUAAGCACCGGCUAACUCCGUGCCAGCAGCCGCGGUAAUACGGAGGGUGCAAGCGUUAUCCGGAUUUAUUGGGUUUAAAGGGUUCGUAGGCGGAUCGUUAAGUCAGUGGUGAAAUCCUACCGCUCAACGGUAGAGCUGCCAUUGAUACUGGCGAUCUUGAGUAUGUAUGUAGUUGGCGGAAUGUGUGGUGUAGCGGUGAAAUGCUUAGAUAUCACACAGAACACCGAUUGCGAAGGCAGCUGACUAAUACACAACUGACGCUGAGGGACGAAAGUGUGGGGAUCAAACAGGAUUAGAAACCCGUGUAGUCC